GGGUUAACGCCUCCGGGCACAAUCCCCACCCUCUGUAACCGCGGCCCGGAUUCGGCGCCUGGCGGGGAGCACCGCCCGUUCGCGGGCGUCCCCGCCUGCCGGAAUUAGCCAACCCUGCCUGGAAAAUUGAAGUCUGAGAACAAGUUAAAUUAAACAAAACUUUCAACAACGGAUCUCUUGGUUCU
rnacentral:misc_RNA from 1 species